rnacentral:rRNA from 1 species
UACGUAGGGGGCAAGCGUUGUCCGGAAUCAUUGGGCGUAAAGAGCGUGUAGGCGGCUUGUCGCGUCGUCCGUGAAAACCUGCGGCUCAACUGCAGGCUGGCGGUCGAUACGGGCAGGCUGGAGUUCGGUAGGGGAGACUGGAAUUCCUGGUGUAGCGGUGAAAUGCGCAGAUAUCAGGAGGAACACCGGUGGCGAAGGCGGGUCUCUGGGCCGAUACUGACGCUGAGGCGCGAAAGCCAGGGGAGCGAACGGG